rnacentral:misc_RNA from 1 species
AAGUCGUAACAAGGUUUCCGUAGGUGAACCUGCGGAAGGAUCAUUAACACGUAUCCAAACGUGAAAACCCCCCCCGUGAACCUUCAUCCUGCUCUUGUAACCCGCGUAGUUCGCAAUCUCUGAUAAAUCAUAGCCCGGUUAAUAGGGGGCAUGGGGACCCUUUAGCAAGCUCCUGCCCGAGUGUACGGUCUACAGGAAACGUAGAAGCGCUAUCCUUGCACAAUCAAUGACACUUUCCGACACUGACUGCUUGGGGAAACAUUGCCUAUAGAACUACCGCUCGAUUGUAACAGUUCCAAUGUUCGCACGUAGCCAGUGGUCUCUGAAUCACUACAACUUUCCGCCACAGUUUAAUGUGAAGCUCAAUGUAAUACAUUGGGUAAAAAAACCGAACAACUGUUAACAAUGGAUAUCUUGGUUCUC